GACCAGACUCCUACGGGAGGCAGCAGUGGGGAAUAUUGCACAAUGGGGGAAACCCUGAUGCGGCGACGCCGCGUGAGUGAAGAAGUAUUUCGGUAUGUAAAGCUCUAUCAGCAGGGAAGAAAAUGACGGUACCUGACUAAGAAGCCCCGGCUAACUACGUGCCAGCAGCCGCGGUAAUACGUAGGGGGCAAGCGUUAUCCGGAUUUACUGGGUGUAAAGGGAGCGUAGACGGCAUGGCAAGUCAGAUGUGAAAGCCCGGGGCUCAACCCCGGGACUGCAUUUGAAACUGUCAGGCUGGAGUGCAGGAGAGGUAAGUGGAAUUCCUAGUGUAGCGGUGAAAUGCGUAGAUAUUAGGAGGAACACCAGUGGCGAAGGCGGCUUACUGGACUGUAACUGACGUUGAGGCUCGAAAGCGUGGGGAGCAAACAGGAUUAGAUACCCUGGUA
rnacentral:rRNA from 1 species